UCAGAUAGCUGAGGUUUUGAGAAUGGAUAUCCCUAUUACAUUACUGAGGGUCAAAUGGGCUGAGCUUCUAAUCCGUUCAAGCCAGAGUGAAUUGAUGCUAAUAGAAUAAGUUCUCCUCACCUCCAGCCCCAGUGAAUCGAGAACAAAGAGAAGAAGUAAGAGAAACUUCAGCCACCUUGUGCAAUUGGGGGGCUUAAAAGAGAAGUUGCAGUCAUUUACAGAGAAAUAAAGCAUUUUUUUUAA